UACAGAGGUCCCAAGCGUUGUUCGGAUUCACUGGGCGUAAAGGGUGCGCAGGUGGGUUUGCAAGUUCGAUGUGAAAGCCCCGGGCUUAACUCGGGAAUGGCAUUGGAUACUGCAGAUCUGGAGGAUCGGAGGGGGGACUGGAAUUCUUGGUGUAGCAGUGAAAUGCGUAGAUAUCAAGAGGAACACCAGUGGCGAAGGCGAGUCCCUGGACGAUACCUGACACUGAGGCACGAAAGCUAGGGGAGCAAACAGG
rnacentral:rRNA from 1 species